rnacentral:rRNA from 1 species
AUUGAACGCUGGCGGCAUGCUUUACACAUGCAGGUCGAACGGUAGCAGGCCGCAAGGUGCUGACGAGUGGCGAACGGGUGAGUAAUGCAUCGGAACGUGCCCAGUCGUGGGGGAUAACUACUCGAAAGAGUAGCUAAUACCGCAUACGAUCUAUGGAUGAAAGCGGGGGACCGUAAGGCCUCGCGCGAUUGGAGCGGCCGAUGUCAGAUUAGGUAGUUGGUGGGGUAAAGGCUCACCAAGCCAACGAUCUGUAGCUGGUCUGAGAGGACGACCAGCCACACUGGGACUGAGACACGGCCCAGACUCCUACGGGAGGCAGCAGUGGGGAAUUUUGGACAAUGGGCGCAAGCCUGAUCCAGCAAUGCCGCGUGCAGGAAGAAGGCCUUCGGGUUGUAAACUGCUUUUGUACGGAACGAAACGGCUCUGGUUAAUACCCGGGGCUAAUGACGGUACCGUAAGAAUAAGCACCGGCUAACUACGUG